rnacentral:rRNA from 1 species
GACGGAGGAUGCAAGCGUUAUCCGGAAUUAUUGGGCGUAAAGCGUCCGCAGGUGGCUGUUCAAGUCUGCUGUCAAAGCGCAGAGCUUAACUCUGUACAGGCGGUGGAAACUGAAGAGCUAGAGUAUGGUAGGGGUAGAGGGAAUUCCCGGUGUAGCGGUGAAAUGCGUAGAUAUCGGGAAGAACACCAGUGGCGAAAGCGCUCUACUGGGCCAUAACUGACACUGAGGGACGAAAGCUAGGGGAGCAAAUGGG